rnacentral:rRNA from 1 species
GAUGAACGCUGGCGGCGUGCUUAACACAUGCAAGUCGAACGAAGCGCUUUAACGGAACUCUUCGGAGGGAAGUUAUUGUGACUGAGUGGCGGACGGGUGAGCAACGCGUGGGUAACCUGCCUUGCACAGGGGGAUAACAGUUAGAAAUGACUGCUAAUACCGCAUAACCCGCUAGUACCGCAUGGUACAGACGGAAAAGAUUUAUCGGUGUAAGAUGGACCCGCGUCUGAUUAGCUGGUUGGUGAGGUAACGGCUCACCAAGGCGACGAUCAGUACCCGGCUUGAGAGAGUGGACGGCCACAUUGGGACUGAGACACGGCCCAGACUCCUACGGGAGGCAGCAGUGGGGAAUAUUGCACAAUGGGGGAAACCCUGAUGCAGCGACGCCGCGUGAGUGAAGAAGUAUUUCGGUAUGUAAAGCUCUAUCGGCAGGGAAGAAAAUGACGGUACCUGACUAAGAAGCCCCGGCUAACUACGUGCCAGCCGCCGCGGUAAUAC